AUAGACAGAAGAGGUGCGAUACUUAGGUAUUUAGUGAGAGGUGACGAACGCCGCAGACCACUAAAGAGGGGAGUACUCGCCGAGGAAGUUCAUAAUACGUCAUUAUGCACUUUCGGUUUACGAGGUUGAAUCCUUGGAACUGUCACCGUUUUAUGGUGGAGAGCUUCUGGCAAU
rnacentral:ncRNA from 2 species